GCCGCCAUGGCGGAAUUGGUAGACGCGCUAGACUCAAAAUCUAGUAAUGGCAACAUUGUAACGGUUCGACUCCGUUUGGCGGUA
rnacentral:tRNA from 1 species